CAAGGGGGUAAGUCUUGCCCCACGAACAGGCAUGACUUGCUAGCGAAUGGGCACCAUUGGCCAAGGGUUGUCCCCUUUUGGCCACUUGCAUCCCUUCGCCCUUUCUGAUUGGGUUUGGGGUCGGUCACAAGCCCAACCCACGCCCCAAGCCUCCUGGACUUAGCCCACGGCCUUGUCCAAAGACCCAACAGCCCAUGGCCUCAUGGCCGGACCUCACAGCCCGCCACUGACACGGACCCGGACCAUCGGCCUAAAGCCCGGACAGUCCGCCUAGCUGAGAUGAGCUGACUCUCAGCUGCCUCAGCUGAGUGAGCUAGUAGUCCAGAUAGUGGAGCUGACUUAGUUGGGACUGACCUGGAGUGAACUGAACCUAGCCUCAUUGAGCUGGCCGAGCUACUCGUUCACUUCGUCCAGUUACCGUCUUACUCGUCCUAGCUGUCUCUUUGCUUGUAUAAGGUUAAGUCUAAGUUUCCUUAUGUCCUUAACCUUCUUUCUCGACCAUGGAACGCUUGCCUUGAUGUCCUAAGACUGGCUUGCAUGUUUCCUCGAACAAUGGCCGUCCCAACAAUCCUAUUCAAGAUUGGGGGCGUGACAAUGAGUACUCUGGUAUUUGACUAGUCCGGUCUAACACAACGUUAGGUCAUAGUACGGGUUGAAAAGCCUUAGGCCUCGAUCAACAGAAAACGCUAACUCUAGGUACGGGUUGCAAAGCCUUGUGCCUUGACUCAGCGGGACAAGUUAGUGGAUGAACUGUUCUAGGUCGUGGAGUAAAUUUUGUUACUCUGACCGGAUCGUCCCUAGCCCGUCACGUAGCGCUUCUGGACCAUGGUGUUGGGUUGGACGGUCAGUCAUGUUCUUGCUUGAUUAUUGGCUGGCCGGUUGGCUCAAUCAUCUCCAACCCUGGGUGUUGGACAGUCGAUCGGUCAUGUUCUUGUUUGAUUGUUGGCAGGUUGAUCGACCAUAUGUCUAGGACGGUUCGGGGGUGUUACAGUCGGGGGCAUUCGUAUUUCAUAGUCAGAGGUGAAAUUCUUGGAUUUUUGAAAGACGAACAACUGCGAAAGCAUUUGCCAAGGAUGUUUUCAUUAAUCAAGAACGAAAGUUGGGGGCUCGAAGACGUUCAGAUACCGUCCUAGUCUCAACCAUAAACGAUGCCGACCAGGGAUCAGCGGAUGUUGCUUUUAGGACUCCGCUGGCACCUUAUGAGAAAUCAAAGUUUUUGGGUUCCGGGGGGAGUAUGGUCGCAAGGAUGAAACUUAAAGGAAUUGACGGAAGGGCACCACCAGGAGUGGAGCCUGCGGCUUAAUUUGAUUCAACAUGGGGAAACUUACCAGGUUCAGACAUAGUAAGGAUUGACCGAGUGAGAGCUCUUUCUUGAUUCUAUGGGUGGUGGUGCAUGGCCGUUCUUAGUUGGUGGAGCAAUUUGUCUGGUUAACUCCGUUAACGAACGAGACAUCAGCCUGCUAACUAGCUACGUGGAGGCAUCCCUUCACGGCCGGCUUCUUAGAGGGACUAUGGCCGUUUAGGCCAAGGAAGUUUGAGGCAAUAACAGGUCUGUGAUGCCCUUAGAUGUUCUGGGCCGCACGCGCGCUACACUGAUGUGUUCAACGAGUUCACACCUUGGCCAACAAGGGUAAUCUUUCAAAUUUCAUCGUGAUUGGGAUAGAUCAUUGCGAUUUUUGGUCUUCAACGAGGAAUUCCUAGUAAGCGCGAGUCAUCAGCUCGCGUUGACUAUGUCCCUGCCCGUUGUACACACCGCCCAUCGCUCCUACCGAUUGAAUGAUCCGGUGAUGUAUUCGGAUCACGGCGACGUGGGUGGUUCGCCGUCUGCGACGUCGCGAGAAGUCCACUAAACCUUAUCAUUUAGAGGAAGGAGAAGUCGUAACAAGGUUUCCGUAGGUGAACCUGUAGAAGGAUCAUUG
rnacentral:ncRNA from 1 species